GACCCGAGACAUGAGGAUCCUGGGGCUCCUGGACAUGACAAGGGAAUCCCAGAGAGGCCCCAGACACGAUUGGGGGCCGGGGGGGUCCCAG